GAUGUAUAGACACGGGUAACGUUAUUCAUGAACUAUGCCAUACUCUUGGAAUGGUCCACGAACAUCAAGCACCUUUUAGAGACAAUUACGUUAAGGUGUACUGGGAAAACAUUAAAAAAGAGACCUUAAAAGACUACACUAUUAAUCAUGGCUACAGGGACUUUGGACUUGAAUAUGAUUACAAAAGUAUCAUGCACUACGAUAGCCAUGCAUUGGGAGAAAUGCCCAGUGGAAAAUGGGCAUUCAUGACUACCAUGACUGCACGUGACCCUUCCAUUACACUUGUCAGAAACGAGAAGCUGAGCUACCGAGACAAAAUCAAACUGGAACUAAUGUAUUGUCCAACACACACGAAAGUAAUCUAUCCUGGAUACAUCCUUAGAUACGACGGCGUAAAGCUUAGAAAACCGACGGAAACUAAUAUGAUUUAUGCACAUUAGGUGUGUAUUGCGAUAACAUGAGAAAAUAAUAAUACCCCCGCCGCAGCAAACCUGCAGACUAAGCGAAUUUCCAUUUCCCUGAAUGGAUUUACACUAAAAUGUCUCCUUAAAAUUAUCACAUUUAUUCCCUAUUUAAAUAGAAUCAGUUUAAAACAUACUUAGGUUUGCUGCA